rnacentral:rRNA from 1 species
UGGCGGCGUGCUUAACACAUGCAAGUCGAACGAUGAAGCCCAGCUUGCUGGGUGGAUUAGUGGCGAACGGGUGAGUAACACGUGAGCAACGUGCCCAUAACUCUGGGAUAACCUCCGGAAACGGUGGCUAAUACUGGAUAUCUAACAUGAUCGCAUGGUCUGUGUUUGGAAAGAUUUUUUGGUUAUGGAUCGGCUCACGGCCUAUCAGCUUGUUGGUGAGGUAAUGGCUCACCAAGGCGACGACGGGUAGCCGGCCUGAGAGGGUGACCGGCCACACUGGGACUGAGACACGGCCCAGACUCCUACGGGAGGCAGCAGUGGGGAAUAUUGCACAAUGGGCGAAAGCCUGAUGCAGCAACGCCGCGUGAGGGAUGACGGCCUUCGGGUUGUAAACCUCUUUUAGUAGGGAAGAAGCGAAAGUGACGGUACCUGCAGAAAAAGCACCGGCUAACUACGUGCCAGCAGCCGCGGUAAUACGUAGGGUGCAAGCGUUGUCCGGAAUUAUUGGGCGUAAAGAGCUCGUAGGCGGUUUGUCGCGUCUGCUGUGAAAUCCCGAGGCUCAACCUCGGGUCUGCAGUGGGUACGGGCAGACUAGAGUGUGGUAGGGGAGAUUGGAAUUCCUGGUGUAGCGGUGGAAUGCGCAGAUAUCAGGAGGAACACCGAUGGCGAAGGCAGAUCUCUGGGCCAUUACUGACGCUGAGGAGCGAAAGCAUGGGGAGCGAACAGGAUUAGAUACCCUGGUAGUCCAUGCCGUAAACGUUGGGCGCUAGAUGUGGGGACCAUUCCACGGUUUCCGUGUCGUAGCUAACGCAUUAAGCGCCCCGCCUGGGGAGUACGGCCGCAAGGCUAAAACUCAAAGGAAUUGACGGGGGCCCGCACAAGCGGCGGAGCAUGCGGAUUAAUUCGAUGCAACGCGAAGAACCUUACCAAGGCUUGACAUAUACCGGAAACGUUCAGAAAUGUUCGCCCCGCAAGUCGGUAUACAGGUGG